rnacentral:rRNA from 1 species
UACAGAGGGGGCAAGCGUUAUUCGGAAUUAUUGGGCGUAAAGAGCUUGUAGGCGGUUUGUCGCGUCUGCUGUGAAAUUUCGGGGCUCAACCCCGAACUUGCAGUGGGUACGGGCAGACUAGAGUGUGGUAGGGGAGACUGGAAUUCCUGGUGUAGCGGUGAAAUGCGCAGAUAUCAGGAGGAACACCGAUGGCGAAGGCAGGUCUCUGGGCCACUACUGACGCUGAGAAGCGAAAGCAUGGGGAGCGAACAGG